rnacentral:rRNA from 1 species
CCUACGGGAGGCAGCAGUGGGGAAUUUUGGACAAUGGGCGCAAGCCUGAUCCAGCAAUGCCGCGUGCAGGAAGAAGGCCUUCGGGUUGUAAACUGCUUUUGUACGGAACGAAAAGGUCUGGGUUAAUACCCUGGGCUCAUGACGGUACCGUAAGAAUAAGCACCGGCUAACUACGUGCCAGCAGCCGCGGUAAUACGUAGGGUGCAAGCGUUAAUCGGAAUUACUGGGCGUAAAGCGUGCGCAGGCGGUUAUGUAAGACAGGCGUGAAAUCCCCGGGCUUAACCUGGGAAUUGCGCUUGUGACUGCAUAGCUAGAGUAUGUCAGAGGGGGGUAGAAUUCCACGUGUAGCAGUGAAAUGCGUAGAGAUGUGGAGGAAUACCAAUGGCGAAGGCAGCCCCCUGGGAUAAUACUGACGCUCAUGCACGAAAGCGUGGGGAGCAAACAGGAUUAGAUACCCUGGUAGUCCACGCCCUAAACGAUGCUGACUAGUUGUUCGGGAAUUUAUUCCUGAGUAACGUAGCUAACGCGUGAAGUCAGCCGCCUGGGGAGUACGGUCGCAAGGUUAAAACUCAAAGGAAUUGACGG